GAAAGUCCCAAGUCCCUGCGCCGCUGUAAUUUUGAGUUUUUCUCCAUAAUAAUAGUAAAGGGGGAUCCAAAAUCAAAUUAUCGAGUUUUCUUGUGCUUCUGAUUACGAGUAGUAUCGAGCGAGUUUUCUCACAGUUCCCUGCAGGACUUCUCCUGGAUAUUACAAAAUGCAACUUAGUUCUCAUU
rnacentral:sRNA from 1 species